AAGCCCGAGGGGCUCUUCCCGCGGCUGAGUCACCGUGCGCGGGGAGCGUGCGCGCCGCGGCCGCCGGGCCAAAGCCUGGGCGCGGGGGAGCCGGAGAGCUCCGGACGCGAGCAGAGCGAGGCGCUUGCUCUGGGGCUGCAGCCCGGGCUGAGCUUGCCCGGCCGAGGGCUGAGCUGUUGGGCGGCUCGUUGGUACCCCUGCCCCGGGGAGCCCGCGAGGGCUACUCCUACACCAGUGGGCUCGGGAAAGCCUUCCGCGACUUGCGAAAAGGGCAGCGAGGGAGUUCAUGGACAGAGUUGGCAAGGAGAGAGCGAGGUCACUUAGGAAAGUCAGAAAGGAGGGGCUGGGUUGAAGCCUUGAAGACCUAGGAGACCAUGAAGCCCAAAACCGGGCUCCCUCGUCGAGUGACCAAGUCCAGGGCUUAGGGCACUGUACAGGACACGCCACACGCUGCACGAUUGGGCAACUUCUGCUGGCAGGCCAAUGGUUUGCAUUUGCAGAGCAAAACGUGAUUGGUGUUUUGAAAGAAUGACUCAGAUGUCUACAGAUGAAAAAACUGAAGUAUGAAGAGGCCAAGUUUCUUGUAACUUUUAAGAGGGCUCCAGGUUGUGCCUGUGUAAUUCCUCCCUUCUGUGAAGGCCCCUCUUGCUUCAAGUGGACAGAUUAUGGCUGAAGUUGUAGUCACUUGAGGUUAGAUUACAAAAGGACUAUGAUGUCUCUCUUGCUGUCUUUCUGUCACUGUUUUAUUCAGCAUAAGCUGCUGUAAUACCAUAAAUCGGGUGGCAUAAACAACAUUUACUUCCCACAGUUGUGGGGGACUGGGAAAUUCAGGAUCAAGAUGCCACAUAUUAAAUACCUUGUUAGUGUCUAGUUCCUAGAUGGCAAUCUUUUGCUUGUGUCCUCACAGUGAGAUGCGUUCUUAUAAAGUCUUAAAAGUCAUGAAUCACGCUCAUGAAGUCUGUCCUGAUAACCUUCUCUGAUCCUAAUUAUCUGCCACAGAAUCUGCAUCUUCAUACUGGCACUUUGGGAAAUAAAGUUUAAAUACUGUUCAUGAACUGUGGGGCUAGAUGAGCAUUGGGUGUGUAUUACUUGCUGAGCCGUCUUGUGGGGAAGUCAGCUACCAGGCUGGGAGUAGCCCUGUGAGAAGGCCCAGAUGAUGAGCAACUGCUGUCGCUGGCCAUCAGCCAGUGAGGCGCCAGGCCGGCACAGUGAGUUGGGAGAUGGGUUUUCCUGCAGCUGAGCCUUGUCAUGACUACAGUGAUGAGGCCCAGAACCGGAUGUCUAAACUGAGCUGAUGCCCUAAAACUGAAAUGAUGACUCAACUAAGUUUGAAGAUAAAUUUUUUGCACAACAAUGUGCAACUAGUGUAUCUGUCAAGGUUACAGAGCUUUUAUUUAAAAAAAAAAAAAAGGAAAAUACAGAUCCUCUGAUUUCCUUCUCUUAAAUGAUUUUUAUUAUAAUGCUAUUUAAACAUAUCAAAAUAAAUUCAAGAAUACAAUUUUUGUGGUUAUUGUAUGUUAGGUUACAAAAGCACUAAACACCAGCAACCUCAGAAUUCAUCUCAUAUUUGGACGAAGAUUCAUAAUUUUAAAAUGGUAAUGUGAUGGAGGAUUAAAGAUGAAAUUAAAGAUU